rnacentral:rRNA from 3 species
GAGUAAUGUCUGGGAAACUGCCUGAUGGAGGGGGAUAACUACUGGAAACGGUGGCUAAUACCGCAUAACGUCGCAAGACCAAAGAGGGGGACCUUCGGGCCUCUUGCCAUCAGAUGUGCCCAGAUGGGAUUAGCUUGUUGGUGAGGUAACGGCUCACCAAGGCGACGAUCCCUAGCUGGUCUGAGAGGAUGACCAGCCACACUGGAACUGAGACACGGUCCAGACUCCUACGGGAGGCAGCAGUGGGGAAUAUUGCACAAUGGGCGCAAGCCUGAUGCAGCCAUGCCGCGUGUAUGAAGAAGGCCUUCGGGUUGUAAAGUACUUUCAGCGGGGAGGAAGGUGUUGUGGUUAAUAACCGCAGCAAUUGACGUUACCCGCAGAAGAAGCACCGGCUAACUCCGUGCCAGCAGCCGCGGUAAUACGGAGGGUGCAAGCGUUAAUCGGAAUUACUGGGCGUAAAGCGCACGCAGGCGGUCUGUCAAGUCGGAUGUGAAAUCCCCGGGCUCAACCUGGGAACUGCAUUCGAAACUGGCAGGCUUGAGUCUUGUAGAGGGGGGUAGAAUUCCAGGUGUAGCGGUGAAAUGCGUAGAGAUCUGGAGGAAUACCGGUGGCGAAGGCGGCCCCCUGGACAAAGACUGACGCUCAGGUGCGAAAGCGUGGGGAGCAAACAGGAUUAGAUACCCUGGUAGUCCACGCCGUAAACGAUGUCUACUUGGAGGUUGUGCCCUUGAGGCGUGGCUUCCGGAGCUAACGCGUUAAGUAGACCGCCUGGGGAGUACGGCCGCAAGGUUAAAACUCAAAUGAAUUGACGGGGGCCCGCACAAGCGGUGGAGCAUGUGGUUUAAUUCGAUGCAACGCGAAGAACCUUACCUGGUCUUGACAUCCACGGAAGUUUUCAGAGAUGAGAAUGUGCCUUCGGGAACCGUGAGACAGGUGCUGCAUGGCUGUCGUCAGCUCGUGUUGUGAAAUGUUGGGUUAAGUCCCGCAACGAGCGCAACCCUUAUCCUUUGUUGCCAGCGGUUAGGCCGGGAACUCAAAGGAGACUGCCAGUGAUAAACUGGAGGAAGGUGGGGAUGACGUCAAGUCAUCAUGGCCCUUACGACCAGGGCUACACACGUGCUACAAUGGCGCAUACAAAGAGAAGCGACCUCGCGAGAGCAAGCGGACCUCAUAAAGUGCGUCGUAGUCCGGAUUGGAGUCUGCAACUCGACUCCAUGAAGUCGGAAUCGCUAGUAAUCGUGGAUCAGAAUGCCACGGUGAAUACGUUCCCGGGCCUUGUACACACCGCCCGUCACACCAUGGGAGUGGGUUGCAAAAGAAGUAGGUAGCUUAACCUUCGGGAGGGCGCUUACCACUUUGUGAUUCAUGACUGGGGUGAAGUCGUAACAAGGUAACCGUAGGGGAACCUGC